rnacentral:rRNA from 1 species
UACGUAGGGUGCGAGCGUUGUCCGGAAUUAUUGGGCGUAAAGAGCUCGUAGGCGGUCUGUCGCGUCUGCUGUGAAAGCCCGGGGCUUAACCCCGGGUCUGCAGUCGAUACGGGCAGGCUAGAGUUCGGUAGGGGAGAUCGGAAUUCCUGGUGUAGCGGUGAAAUGCGCAGAUAUCAGGAGGAACACCGGUGGCGAAGGCGGAUCUCUGGGCCGAUACUGACGCUGAGGAGCGAAAGCGUGGGGAGCGAACAGG